rnacentral:lncRNA from 1 species
AUAUGAGUAUGGAUACCUAUGACCGACACAUAUGUUGGCCUUCUCAUGUGCGAAACAUGGCUGCCGCACAUGCGAGCACCCAGCCCGCAUGGUCAUGAACGUCAGUCAUGGAUGUAGCAACACCUACACACCCCACGACAUGCACACAAGCGCGCUAGCAGCUACUUAUAUGUGCAGCCAGCAAGCAUGAGCAGAUAAGUAGUCCCGCACGCCCACGCCGAACACAUGCAGCAUGCACGUGGCAAUGUGCAUGUGCACAAGAGGCCAAGCACACACCAAGUGCCCCACAUGCAGGUUCCCCAGCUUCGCAUGGCAAAAGCACACGACCCGAACGCUCACCCGUGUAGCCGCACAUCCGCAAGGCAAAACUCACACAGCCCUAACUCGCUACCCGCACACGGCCAGCCUGCUGCCAACUUGGUAGCCCCUUUUUGAGUCUUGUUUGGACUAAUUGUCUCACUUUUC